UUAGGAAUUUUGGGCAAUGGGCGGAAGCCUGACCCAGCAACGCCGCGUGGGUGACGAAGGCCUUCGGGUCGUAAAGCCCUUUUCUCGGGGACGAAACUGACGGUACCCGAGGAAGCAGCCCCGGCUAACUACGUGCCAGCAGCCGCGGUAAUACGUAGGGGGCGAGCGUUGCCCGGAAUCAUUGGGCGUAAAGGGCGCGCAGGCGGCCCGAUUUGUCGUGGGUGAAAUCGCUCGGCUCAACCGAGCGGGGUCCUGCGAAACGGUCGGGCUGGAGCAAGGCAGGGGGUCGUGGAAUUCCCGGUGUAGUGGUGGAAUGCGUAGAGAUCGGGAGGAACACCAGUGGCGAAGGCGGCGACCUGGGCCUGGGCUGACGCUGAGGCGCGAAAGCGUGGGGAGCGAUCCG
rnacentral:rRNA from 1 species